AUGGUGGAGGUUGAUUUCUGGAGCCCAGAUGAUAAAGCCAAGGGGAAGCUCCACUCAGUAUGGAUAAAGAUGUGGGGAGUGCCUCAUACUUUGAGGCUCUAUCUAGGAGUGUGUGAGAUUGGAUCUGCUUUAGGGCCAGUGGUGGAGGUUGAUGUGGAGCACAUACACUCCCAAGAAGAAAUCAGGGUGAAGGUGGGUGUGAGAGACAUGCACAAAAUUCUAGCAGGGACUAAGAUAACUACUAAGGACUUGUUGUUGUAUGACAUAAACUUUGAGUUUGAUUCAGUUGCUGAACAGGGGUGGUAUAAGUUUGACGAGGGAAAUAACAGAAAGAUAUUUGAAUAUCUGGAUCUUGAGAGUUUUGAGUCACAAAGAGAGAAUGACAUGCAAAAAAGAAGCAAACAAAUGGACACUGGAAAAUAG
rnacentral:rRNA from 1 species